CAAAGUUACACGCUUCGCUGUAGUGAUGCUUUGAACCCACGUGUGUCAGAAAUCGUCCGUUGGUCCAGUCAUCCGUCACUCCAGUAUUCGGCGCUCUGUUGAAAUUGUCGGCAUAUACAACAAAAGAGCGCGGAGAUGUCGCGUUGGCGCGGCGUCAAUGGCGCCGGCUGAGCACGCUCGGCUAGGCGCCGAUGCGCGCCUGGCUGCUCGUGUGUGCGGCGCUCGCCUUCGCGCCCGGACCGACGUCGGCGACCGCCGCGCACCCGUCUCGCGUCAGAGACGACCAUAUCAAAGGACAGAUACUCGCCAAG